rnacentral:lncRNA from 1 species
AAUAUUUGAUCUUAGGUGCAUUUCCCUCUGGAAUAUUAUUGUUUGGGUAUGACCGGACAACUACCGAUAUCUAUUAAUUUCUUUUCUUAGAAUGUUCUUUAGAAAUAUAUAUCUAUCUAUCUAUAUCGUAAACUAUCGGAUCGGGUAUUACAACAAUGUGAAACUUCCAGACCUCAUUGGUUGUAAUAUUUAUCUUACGGGGG